UACGUAGGGGGCAAGCGUUGUCCGGAUUUACUGGGCGUAAAGAGCGUGUAGGCGGCUUUACAGGUCCGUUGUGAAAACUCGAGGCUCAACCUCGAGACGCCGGUGGAAACCGUAAAGCUAGAGUCCGGAAGAGGAGAGUGGAAUUCCUGGUGUAGCGGUGAAAUGCGCAGAUAUCAGGAAGAACACCCGUGGCGAAGGCGGCUCUCUGGGACGGUACUGACGCUGAGACGCGAAAGCGUGGGGAGCAAACAGG
rnacentral:rRNA from 1 species